GAACUUUUCGCCAGACUUUCCCCUUUCAGUCCUCCGUUGUCCCCUUGGUGACGGGCGGACACAGGAGAGCGCGCGUCGCGCCGGUGACGUAGCGGCCGGUUCUCCGCCAUCUUAGUUGUGGACAGAGAGGCAGCAAUCUCGGAGGAGCCGAGGCGGUGCGGCUGUCGAAAUGCUGAGCCUCGGCAGGCGUGGGCUCUGGCUGGGCCUGGCCACGGCGGCAGCGGCGGCGAUGGCCGCACGGCUGAUGGGCUGGUGGAGUCCCCGCGCUGACUUUCGCCUUUUCAUACCCGAGGAGCUGGCCCGCUAUCGCGGCCGCCCUGGGGACCGGGGCCUCUACUUGGCCUUGCUCGGACGCGUCUACGAUGUGUCCUCUGGCCGGAGGCACUACGAGCCUGGGGCCCACUAUAGCGGCUUCGCAGGCCGAGACGCAUCCAGAGCGUUUGUGACCGGGGACUACUCUGAAGGAGGCCUUGUGGAUGAUGUAUCUGACCUGUCAUUUUCUGAGAUGCUGACACUCCAAAGUUGGCUUUCAUUCUAUGAGCAGAAUUAUGAAUUCAUCGGGAGGGUGACAGGAAGGUUCUACGGAGAGGAUGGGCUACCUACUCCAGAACUGACCCAGGCAGAAGCCAUGAUCACCAAAGGCUUGGAGGCAAAUAAACAGGAACUGAAAGAGAAGCAGAAGUUUCCACCAUGCAAUGCUGAGUGGAGCUCAACCCGGGGCAGCCGGUUCUGGUGCUCCCAGAGGAGUGGAGGUGUGAGCAGAGACUGGAUUGGCGUCCCCAGGAAGCUGUUUAAGCCAGGUAUUAACGGGCACAAAUUUGACCAACUCAGAGCUAACUGGACAGACACGCAGAAGGGCUCUGAGCUCCAACAGCUUCCUUUCCACGGACUCCCAGGCUGCCCAGAUCAGCUGCCGGCCUGGGCCCUGCUUCUUUCCAGAUUCACGGACUGGAAAACGGAGGCUGCCUGCCCUAACUGGUGUGGCUCACUGCCCUUCGGCCACAGCUGCUCUUCACGCCUGAAUCCUGCUCUUGGCUCCUUUUGCCAUCCAGGAUCUUCCUCACCGGCCUUUCCAGCACCUUUAACCUCUUCCUGCCUCCCGGCUCUUCCCUCUAAGUCUGCAUUCAACAGCUCACUUCCCUUCCCUCCUGCCCCAUUCUUCUGAGGCCCCGUAACUCCUUCCUGUCCCUACUUCCCGCCCCAGCGAAGCUUUGGAGAAUGCUGCAUGUACUCAGGCUUUGCUCCUCAGCCCCCGUCUGCCUGCAACACAGUCGCCCAGCUUAGCCCUUCCCUGCGCCACAGCAGGAUAAAUUCUGUACUGGCAAACGCACGGCCACAUUCAAUUAUUACCUACCUGGACCUGUCCCACCUGAGGGCCCUCGUGAAAGCCUCCCUUGGCUUUUUCCCCAUUUCCCUUAUCUCCCUCGGGGGUCCCUUCCAGCCUCCUGGAAGCCUCUCCUCCACACGCCUUCCCACCAGCUCCUGUCGCUCCUGCGUCAGCUGCCAAGUCUGCAAUCUCGUCCAGGCGGCUUUCCUGACCAUUUCUGCAGGCACCAGAGUCUCCACAGUUCUGGCAUUUAGUCUUCAUCUUCUCCCUGGUGAUUCUUCCAGUGUCCCUGGAUGGUUCCAUCAUCGCCAUCUCAAAGCACCCAGUCACACCAAACAUAAAAAUGAAGGCACAGAAAUUAUGAAACAUGCCGGUUUGUACUCACAUAUUAUGACAAAAUAUGACCAGUGUUCUCCUCAGGGACGGCUAUUAGGAUUACUUGGGAUUGUUACGUGGAAGCCCCCAACAGUGCCUAUUAACUCUGAGUAAAGCCACCAGAGAAUGCGAUUUAUCAAUCACCAUAGCUGGUCCGAACCAGGAGUGAGCAAAAUGGAAAACAGGUAAGGGAAAGGAGAACACUAGUUCAAGAAAGUGUGAUGGUGAGGUGAGCUACUAGAUUCAUGCAGUUUGUAUGAGGGAAUUAUGGAUCACUAGAUUUUAACUUGCAAACCCCUAAACUUUCCUUAGUUUUCUCUGAAACCCACAGCACCAGUCCUCCCUUCAGACCAAGGCCAGCAGAAACCUCACCAUGGGGGGAUCUUCUCGAGUUGCUCCUAAAUAAUGGAGUCAGGGAGGGAAUUUCCAGGGUCCACGGGAGAGCUGCAGUGGGGUCAGGUGGCUGAGCCUGGGCAGCUGUGGUCACAGACGUCACCAUGAGCUGAAGUCUGGGCCAAGAGCACAGGACAUCCAGGCAGCUGGUCAUUAUGCCUAAAACAGCUACCUUCUCACUGCUGUCAACCAUGUGUUUCUGAAAAGUGUUGGAAAUUCAGAUUUUCCUAGAGGGUAGCUGUUAAAGAAAUGUAUUCACAUGUCAGGAGUGUUAAAAUUUUUGUGUUUGUUUUUAAUGC